rnacentral:pre_miRNA from 1 species
ACUGAGAACGACCUGGCCAUCUGGCUUUAAGAACUGAAUUCUGUAGGCUGUGAGCUCCAGCAAAUGCCUUAGGGACUCAGUUCUGGAAACCUGGCUGUGCUGCACC